UAUCUAUGGAAUGGGACAUAUUGAGCCCUUUGAUACUUUGAGGAGUUUGACCUUCCUGUAAAUCAGGUUAUGGUCUCUGCUAUUUGGCUAAUCCCAGUGACCACCCUGUAAUCAGGGUACAGGUUGCAUCUCCCUUUUGAAAUCUGGUGGAUUAGAACCAUGGGCAGCUUGACCUCCCUGUCAUUAGGGUUUGGUCUCGAGGCCCUUUGGGUCUCUUGGCAUUGUGCUGUCUUCACAGCCUGAGGCGAGUGACCGCCCUGUAAUCAGGGAAUCUGGUCUUGGCCCUCUGGUCUCUUGGUACAAGGCCACGUAAGCCAGCUGUUCUGAAUGAGCACCCUGUAAACAGGGUACAGGUCUCAUCAGACACUAUUUGUGGUGCCCCCAUGAAACUGUGUCCAGAGUCCUGGCCCUUCACACUGCGCUUCCAACUUGCCUGGAAUUCUGCAGCCAAGUCUCCUGCUUUCUUCCCUGCUUACUGUGCUCCUGGAGACCCGACAUCCUGCUCCUGUUGCUGGCAGCUCGAAGCACAAAUGGACAAGAAGGAAGUGUCAGGAAUGUCAAGCAAAGAGAAGGAAAGAGGACAAGUCACUGAAGAUGGAGAAGAAGGAAAGGGACUCUGGGCACAGUAACCUCCCUGUAAUCAGACCUCAGGUCAUGUAGUGACACUCUACGGGGAACUCGAGCCUUUUAAUCCCUUGAGCAGUGUGACCGCCCUGUAAGCAGGGUCCAGGCCUGUGCUGUUUUGUCCUUUUGACCUUAUGCUCCGUUAGCUGGCUAGUGAGAGUGACUGCCCUGUAAUCAGGGUGCAAGUCACACCCCCUCGCUUUCGAGGGAAAUUGAGCUCUUUGGUAACUUGAGCAAUGUGACCGCCCUGUAACUAGGGUCCAGGUCUGUGCUGUUUUGUCCUUUUGACAUUAUGCUCCACUCGCUGGCUAGUGAGAGUGACUGCCAUGUAAUCAGGGUGCAAAUCACACCCCCCUCGCUUUCGAGGGACAUUGAGCUCUUUGGUAACUUGAGCAAUGUGACCUCCCUGUAACUAGGGUCCAGGUCU